rnacentral:rRNA from 1 species
GAUGAACGCUGGCGGCGUGCCUAAUACAUGCAAGUCGAGCGAACAGACGAGGAGCUUGCUCCUCUGACGUUAGCGGCGGACGGGUGAGUAACACGUGGAUAACCUACCUAUAAGACUGGGAUAACUUCGGGAAACCGGAUCUAAUACCGGAUAAUAUAUUGAACCGCAUGGUUCAAUAGUGAAAGACGGUUUUGCUGUCACUUAUAGAUGGAUCCGCGCCGCAUUAGCUAGUUGGUAAGGUAACGGCUUACCAAGGCAACGAUGCGUAGCCGACCUGAGAGGGUGAUAGGCCACCCUGGAAGUGAGACACGGUCCAGACUCCUACGGGAGGCAGCAGUAGGGAAUCUUACGCAAUGGGCGAAAGCCUGACGGAGCAACGCCGCGUGAGUGAUGAAGGUCUUCGGAUCGUAAAACUCUGUUAUUAGGGAAGAACAAAUGUGUAAGUAACUAUGCACGUCUUGACGGUACCUAAUCAGAAAGCCACGGCUAACUACGUG